AACAAAAAGUUUAGUUUUAAAGAAAAAUCACAAUGUCAACAUCUAAAUUUGCUUUCUUUUGUAUCGUCUUGGUUUUUUUUGCUACUUUUCAUGAAUGUGUCAAAAAAGUUGAUGCAGCUGCACUAACAUGCACUAGAUUACCAAAUUCUAAUUGGUGCUGCAACACAACACCGAGAAGGUGCCGAGGCAGCAAAGUCGAGUGUGACGCGAUUUGUAAACCCAAACGCCUCUGAAUUUUCCAGAAGAGAAUUUCUAUAAUUAUAUAUUCCAAAUUUUCUUUUACCUCUAUUAUUAUUAUUACUGAAAAUAAUAAAUAGGAAGUCAUGUUCUAGAGGAGCAUCUAGUACUGUUGGGUUUUCUUCGAAUAGCUGAAAUUGUUUUUAUUGUUAAUUCUGACUUUCUGCAAUUGUAUUUAAUAAGUUUAUAAUUGCAGAUAUAAUAAUUUGAAUCGAUUAUGUUAUUCUUUGGCA